GUUUCUACAAAAAAUAUACAAUGAAAAUCUUUUUUUAAAAAAAUGAGAGCGAAGAGUGUUACUUGGAGGAACAGAGGUAGGAAUUAUGAAAUCAGAUUUUGUUAUAUUUCUGCCAGUGUUGGACAGAUAAAUUUCCAUAAUAAAAUGAAACGAAUUAUUCGCAACAAAUAAGAUACUUGUAUUACCUUGCAGUCACAGUUGCACAUGAUGUAUACAGCUGACAACAUCCAAAAUCCCUUUCUUUGUUGUUUUCUUGGCGGAAAUUUCUUGCAUUUUAGACUGGUUCCCAUCACUCGGAGUUCCUCGGGACUCAUACCUCGCGUGGAGGAGUCAGCCGAGCAUUGCCGAUUGCCCUGAAUAAGUCCUACGUUUAUUGGUUUUGUUUACAAGCCUCGACAUCAAUAAAAUCUCCCGCAUAUUUACAGCCUUUAUUGUAAGCUACUAAAAACAUAUCUUACAUACAAUUUUCACCUCAGUAUAAUGUUAUCCUCUUCAUUCAAGUAAUAUGUAAACUCUUCUCGAAUGUACAAUGAACGAUCUACUUUGAAGAGUAAACCAAAUAUGGCUCUGUGUAUUCGGUUGAAUAGCCAAUCAUUUCAAAUCAAGUUGAGCGGGUCUGCAUCGUGAUCGUUAUUUUGAUGAAGUUUGCGACCAGUAGUAAUUUUUUGAAACCUCAUCUAGAUUUAAGAAGAUUCUUGGCUUGACAACUGCUCGAACUCCCGGGUUGGCAUGCACUACAGGUAUAGUGAAUCAGCAUGUAGAUUGUUAAAGGGAAAACAUCAAGACGGGGCGAGGAAGAUGACAAAACAUGAUUACCCAGAUUAAGGAUCCCAAUGUUCUUUGGCUCAAGCUUCUCAGCCUACCAUGAGAAAAUAAAAAGAUUUGUCGUGAAGAAGAGGCGGGUUAUCAACUUU